UCAUUGCACUGCAGAUCCCAGACGAGCCUGAAACUUCUUUUCUCAGUGCUGGAGAUCAAGAUCAAAACCUUGAGCACACAAGGUGAGGAAAUCAAGGCUCAGGCUGGACGGCGUGUUCAAGGUCACUUGGCUAGUUAAGAGAAGAAUCAGUACCUGGACUGUCUGUCUUCACUACUCAGUGCUUCCGAAGAAGGAAUUCAGGGCCUCAAAGUAGAAGUAGGGGUGAGCCACUGCCCUACCAGCUUUACCUGGGUCCCCCCAAAAACAUGGGAGACUGCACUACACCAAACCAGAUGUGGUGAUCUGUGUCUGCAAUCCCAGUCCUCAGGGAGCCAGAGCCUCAGGGAAGAGUUGUUUGCCACGCAAACAUGAAGACCUGAACUUGAAUUCUUAGCCCCAAGCAGGUUAAACAUCCCUGGAACCCCAGCCGGAGGGAACACAGGCAGAUCCUGAUAGCUCCACUGGUCAGCCAGCCUCACCAAAAUGGCAUCUGGUUUAGUGAGCUACUCUGUGUCAAGGCAACAAGGAGAAGACUGGUAGAUGAAGACACUUGGCAUUCUGCUCCGGGGCCUCAGCACACAACAGUGGGCACAUUUAUACACAUGCCCUCGCCAUAUACAUACCACAUGUGCACGUGCAUACACACAUACACACACUGUCCGUGCUAAGAAGGAUGAUGAUAGCAAGACUAGAGGACGUGGGGAAGGGAGUCUAGGCAUGGCCACACUCUAGGGUCAUCUUCUGCGGUGGAACUUAGCCCAGUGCUGCAUAGUAGAAAUGUAACCCUAGACGUACACACAAUGUAAAAUUACCUAAUGGCCUCUUUUAAAAGAUAAAAAUAAUCUGGAAUAACAUGUGUCUAUCAGCUCCAGCUGUGAUUCACAUAGUGUAGGGUUCAUGGGUCUACCCCUGCUCCCGGGGUUCAUUUUGAGGACAGUCUCUGGUCAGCCAGUGUUUCCUGCUUGUUCCUGUGCUCCCUCUGUCCCCCUGGUGAUCAGUUAUAGGGCAUUGUUGACUCCACCUUGGGUGUGGUAAUUUCCCACCUGCCUGGGAGGGGGUUUCCAUUGUGC